CCUUGCGUACAACAAAAGAGCAAAUUGAAUGCUACUUAGCAUUUCUAGAGCUUCACCCUGAAAUGAAGCUCCACAAGAACGAUCCCACGCGACCCAAAAGGUUAGAAGAGCUGUGGAUCGAACUUGCUCAACAGCUAAACGCUCUAAAGGGUCCAUCACGUUCGCCUACCAAAUGGAAGGAGUGUUUAAACCACUGGAAAAACCAGAUUCGCUCAAGGGCAAGAAAGGCAAAAGUAAGUAGGAUAUUGACAGGCGGAGGACCAAUGCAGGAAAUUCAAUCCUCCGAGUUGGAAGAGCGGGCGAUGGAACACUAGGGAGGACCGUGGUUGAUGGGCUGCCUGAUGUCCCAACUAUUGGAGUAGAGAACGACAUUAUAAUCAAUCUAGAUCCGCAGAGUCCGACAGUAAGUGAGAUGCCAUCAACGUCACGUUCUCGAAGGCAGACUUCUCAGGAAAUGUUUGCUGACAUGAUGGCUACAAUGAAGAAGAGGAGCGAAGAAGAGGCAAAAUUUAGAGAGACAUCGCAACAAUGCUUCCAAAAUGUUGCGGACUCUU